CCACCGCCGCCGCAACCACCGAAACCACAUCCGCCUCCUCCGCUCGGUGCUCCGUAGCUCGACGAUGGUCCGCCACCACCUCCACCACCUAGAUUGGGUGUUCCAUAACUAGUAGACGGUGGCAGAUAACUACCAAGUCAUACUAACUCGCAACGAUCUCGAUUUCUCGAGUAUGGAUGGGAACGACAUCGUUGAGACAUGCUUAGAGAGACGCGCUUUGUCGGCCUUGAUGUCAUCCUGGAUGGAAGAUCGCUCGAGAAAGAUCAUCAUGACGUGAAGGAAAGAUCGUACCUUCCCUCGCGGAUCUUAUGCUCACGUUGCUUAGUUUUCGUCACAUCAUAUAUACGUCUAUCUCACUCUCUCCUUCCCUCAUCUGCUUCGACAAGGGAAUUGCUUCAUUUCGACGUCGGGCUAAUUGAUUAAAGGGAUUAUAUGCCGCGAAGAAGCUACGAGGCGUCACGGAUCUAUCUAUCCUGCCGACCGAUUUUCUCACUCAAGAGGAACAAAUGUGGUAAGAGUGAGUGAGUGAAAAAGAGAGAAAGAGAAAGAGAAAGAGAAAGAUAGAGAAAGGUGAUUUUAUUUCGCAAGUCUCGUUUCGUUUCUUCCUUCAACUUCUGCGCUUGCCCUUCCUCAAAGAUCGAUCCAGGUAUAGGUGUAUGUAUGUGUGUAAUACGUAAGUACUUGCUUGCCUCUAUCUUUCAUUCUCUUUCGAACUUCUUUUCUCUCUUUUUUUUGUUUUUACUCUUUUUUCUUUUUAUUCUUCUUCUUCUUCUUCUUCUUCUUCUUCUUACUCUUGGUUCUUGAACGAAGUGAAUCCAACCUGUGCACUUGUACUUAUGGAUCAUUUUGGAUUAACGCUUGGUGAUUUAUCAAUGGUGAUUUCGAACUGGGUCGUACAGAUUACUCGAACGAUCCCUAUCGAAUAAGAUAUCGUGCCCUGUAUUCCGAGAAUACUUGAAAGUUGAAAUAUCUAUGUAUGAUUAUUUUAAAACAAGCAAUUACUUUCAUAUAUUAUGUUGACAAAAAGGAUCUAACAAAGUAUAAAAAUAAUUGAAUGAAAUUAUUUAAUUUGUUUCGUGUGUUUUUUUUAUUAUAAGAUAGUUGGACUACGAUAAUAACAAUAUUUUAAAUAAUUUCUUUUUUAAUUCUCACAGAUUGAAUAUUUUAUUCUGAUGUAAUUUUUGGAAAAAAGAUAUUAUCUAAAGAUAAAAUAAAAAUUAUAUACGAUGCAGAUCACUUUUGUAAUUGAUUAAGCUAGACUUUUCUAAAUGGAUGGGUUUAUCGAUUCUUUCCCUGAUGUUGUCUUUCGAAAUAGGUCGAUAUGGACUCGAUACCUUUUUGGAUUGAACGAUACUAUAAUACACUAAUUCGAAUUUAAAGUUGUGAAAAAGAAUCUAUGAAAAAUAUUAAUAAUGAACGAUCGAUUGAAUUAUUAUAUUAGAAUGCGAAUGAAAAUAUGAAUAAAUAAUGGUAAGAAUAUAUAAAGAAAAAUGAAAAUUAUGAAAAUUACAGUAACAGCACGACCUUUCUCGAUACAAUCGAACAAUAUAUAAUAAUUAGAUACUCGUAGGAAUAAUCGAGGAAGACGAAUGGACCUUGAAAUUAAUGAGAUCCAUUCGCCAUUCGCUGCACGCUACAAUUUUUACGAUAAUUAUUUUCUCCCUGUUUUUUUCCUUCUUUUCUUUCUUUUUUUUUUUUUUUUUUUUUUUUAAACAUGACGAACGAAUGAAGAUACAUCUAUUAAAAAUUAAAAGGAGUAAAAUAAAAGAACUCAAAGAAGUUCGUCAAGAGAAAUCAUUUCUUAAUUUGAUUUCUCAAGGACUAAACUCAUCUCUUUCAACAAAAAUGAUUAGCUAUUAUAAGUAGCCAUAUAAUACAAUUCUUCAAGGCUGUCUCAUAACCUUUUAUGAUUUCAUUAAUCUUUCGUAGAAUAGAUGAAUUGUUUCUUUUUUAUUAUAUAAAAGGACGAAGAUCUUUUGAUCGAAAUUACCUUUAAUUAAAUCAAAAUUAUAUUAUUUCAAAUCACAGUAGUACUUUUAAUUUUUAGAUCAAAUAAAAAUAAUUCACUUGGAUCGAUUGAUCAUCGAUCCAUUUGUCUUUCACUGUAUAUUACUCAAUUUCUUUUUCUUUGCUGCACGUUUAUAUUAUUCUACUUACAUAAGGAUGUAAUUCAUUUAAUAAUAAUAAUUAUUAUUAUUAGUUAGAGCCAUGAGUAAGAAAGAGUUAUAUCUAUUAUUAAUCAACUUGAUGAUUUUUUUCUCGAAAUAUUGAAAAGCAUUAUUAUAUAGAAACAUAUAAAAUUCUUCGACAUCGUAUUUAUUCAGGUCGAUGAGCUAAGUAACUCGAAAUAACUCAUUGUGCAUCGACCUUCUCUCCCCUCCUUCCUAUAUCUCCCACUUAUGAACCCUCGUGCGUUCACCACCUAUUACCCUCCUCCCCCUCUUCCUCCUCCUUCCUCCUUCUUUACCACCCGUCAUGUAUCCGAGAACGUGCUCGAUUUAUAUCGAGUCCAGGAUUACGUCAUCGCGAGGACCUGGCCGAUGUCAUCGACAGACGGGUAGAACUCACAUAAUUAAAACGUCCAGCUGGAACGUAAAUAUUAACUCCACGUUACGAUCGAUUGCAAUCUACAAGUACGAAUUCAUACAUGUGAGUAUCACAAAAAAAUGAAAGUAAAAUCAAGAAAAAAAAAUGAUUAUGCAAUCAUUUGUCUUGAUCUACUUUGGAGGAUUAACGAGAUUUAACAAAUUUAUCUAUCAUUUUAUGUACUAUAAUUACCGAAUGAUAACAAAAAAACCAAUUUCCCCCACUCUUCCUCUUAACAAAAACAGAGAUUACGAUCUCUUUAAGAGCCAUUCGAUGUUAUAAUUACGAUAUCUCUAUCUAUUUUAGACUGUAUUAUUGAAAGCACGGGAAUAAAUACUUGUCUUUAAGUGCU